rnacentral:lncRNA from 1 species
UGAGCAUUUGUUCCAUAUUCAUUUAUACUUAGUACCAAGCCUUCCAAGCUUAGACGCACGCUAGACCCAAAACAUACAAAUCUUGGUGUAAACAACUGAUUUUCCUUAUAUCUUAUUGGGAAUUAAAGAGAUGUCUUCUCCCCAAUAAAAUAGAACUAGGUGCAUCCACAAUACGUAAAUACUUCAUAUAUAUUAUAUGUAUUGAGCUGGGGCCUAUAUAGAUAGAUAAGGCCACAGACCAUUUUAUAUAUGCGGUGUCUAGCAGUCCUUCGAUACCAUAAUUAAGGGGAGCCAUAACCAAUAAAAUUUGGGAAAACCUAAAGAACGGAAUACCGUUCCGACGGGAUCGUUAAAUAAAUUUUUGCCGUGCGCGCCUUUGCAGCUUUGUCGCAGUGUGGUAGGGCA